UACAGAGGUGGCAAGCGUUGUUCGGAAUUACUGGGCGUAAAGGGCGCGUAGGCGGUCCCGUCAGUCCCUUGUGAAAUCCCCCGGCUCAACCGGGGAACUGCGCUUCAAACCGCCGGACUUGAGGGAGACAGAGGUGGGCGGAACAGAUGGUGGAGCGGUGAAAUGCGUUGAUAUCAUCUGGAACACCGGUGGCGAAAGCGGCCCACUGGGUCUCUUCUGACGCUGAGGAACGAAAGCUAGGGUAGCGAACGGG
rnacentral:rRNA from 1 species